rnacentral:rRNA from 1 species
UAAAAAAUUAAUUUAUGAUAUUAAAGUAGUAUUAGUUAUGUUCUUGAAAUUUAAAAAAUUUGGCGGUAUUUUAGUCUAUUCAGAGGAACCUGUUUUGUAAUCGAUAGUCCACGAUGUAUCUUACUUAAAUUUGUUUUUAUAGUUUAUAUAUCGUUGUUUAUUGAAUAUUUUAUUAGAAUAAUAAUUUUCUUAAUUUUUAAUUAAAAAUUAUAUCAGAUCAAGAUGUAGCUUAUAUUUAAGUUUAUAAUGGGUUACAAUUAUAUUAUUAUUGGAUUUAAAUUUGUAAUAAUUUAAUGAAAUUGGAUUUGAUAGUAAAUUUGUAAAGAUAGAUAAUUUGAUUAUAGCUCUAAAAUAUG